CACUACCACCACAAACACAACCACUACCACCACAACCACCACCACCACCACCAAAUCACCACACUAAGCGUGAAGAUGUCAGGUCGCGACGCGUUGGUCCAUCGGCGCACCUUCCAGAACGCCAACCAGGUGGUGGAGUUGACCACACGCACCAUUCCCAAGGCUCAACACCACCACCACCACCACCAGCGAGGACAUCAACACCAUUCACCACCACCAUUGAGGCCAGAUCACACCACCACCACCAACAACAACACCAGGAUUGGCUACAGUGAAGGUCGUGGCAGAGAGUGUACUCAAACUCCUACUGUGAGCUACUCCUGAUGCCUGCGCCCUCACCACCCUGUGAAGGAUGCCCAGCUGACCCAACCCUCCACGUGUGCCCCUGAGAGCUCCCUGAG